ACAGGGAUUGCCCUAGUAACGGCGAGUGAAGCGGCAACAGCUCAAAUUUGAAAUCUGGCUCUUUCAGAGUCCGAGUUGUAAUUUGCAGAGGGCGCUUUGGCUUUGGCAGCGGUCCAAGUUCCUUGGAACAGGACGUCACAGAGGGUGAGAAUCCCGUACGUGGUCGCUAGCUAUUGCCGUGUAAAGCCCCUUCGACGAGUCGAGUUGUUUGGGAAUGCAGCUCUAAAUGGGAGGUAAAUUUCUUCUAAAGCUAAAUAUUGGCCAGAGACCGAUAGCGCACAAGUAGAGUGAUCGAAAGAUGAAAAGCACUUUGGAAAGAGAGUCAAACAGCACGUGAAAUUGUUGAAAGGGAAGCGCUUGCAGCCAGACUUGCUUGCAGUUGCUCAUCCGGGCUUUUGCCCGGUGCACUCUUCUGUAGGCAGGCCAGCAUCAGUUUGGGCGGUGGGAUAAAGGUCUCUGUCACGUACCUUCCUUCGGGUUGGCCUUAUAGGGGAGACGCCAUACCACCAGCCUGGACUGAGGUCCGCGCAUCUGCUAGGAUGCUGGCGUAAUGGCUGUAAGCGGCCCGUCUUGAAACACGGACCAAGGAGUCUAACAUCUAUGCGAGUGUUUGGGUGUCAAGCCCGAACGCGUAAUGAAAGUGAACGGAGGUGGGAACCCGCAAGGGUGCACCAUCGACCGAUCCUGAAGUUUACGGAAGGAUUUGAGUAAGAGCAUGGCUGUUGGGACCCGAAAGAUGGUGAACUAUGCUUGAAUAGGGUGAAGCCAGAGGAAACUCUGGUGGAGGCUCGCAGCGGUUCUGACGUGCAAAUCGAUCGUCAAAUUUGGGCAUAGGGGCGAAAGACUAAUC
rnacentral:rRNA from 1 species